rnacentral:lncRNA from 1 species
AGAUAACACACUUUAUACGAGUAAAGUGAAAUACAUCAUCACAUGUGCUUUUAUCCAAUAAUUUGACCCAUGGUCAGUAGAUAUCAUAUGCAGUUAAUAAACAGUCAAACAUGUACAUGUAUUAAGGAAAUCAUGAAUUAUUAUUUGUAAUGCACACUAGCAAAUCACAAGAUAUUGUCUUUUCUCAGUGAAAAAGGGGGAGGAUCAACAAAACUUUUGAAAACAAUAUUGCUGCACCUUUUCAACUAUUAAGCUAGUUAGCUAGCACUCGUUGCUGCUAAUAUAAAAGAUUUAAAUGAAGGUUGAUAAGCCACAAGGGAGAAGCAUUUUUCUUUCUUUGCGAUAAAACUUUCAAGAAUUUGAUUUUUGCUCUCUCAAUAAUACUUAUGUAUUCUAAACCAAAUAAUAACACAGCCUGAGUAAUUUUUUUGUCUUAUUUCAGUUCCAGACAUAUCAUUACUUUUUAACCUGAGAUGGCAAACUAGAGGUUUUAAAAAGUCCUGAAUAACUGGUAAGCAUUUUGUUUUAUUUGGCAAGCUCUAAAUUGUUUAUUUAUGGUAUUUAUGCAAUUCAAAUUACAGUCGGUAUGUUAAAAAUAUACUGAUAUGAAAACUGUUGCUAUGGUCUUGGCAUUAAAUGAAAAUGCUUGGUUACUGAUCUUUUCGACUCCAUAUUUCAAGUUAAACCUUGCGGCAACUGUUCUUCAUGUAACACUGCAAACUAUAAUUAGCAUUAUUUUGAUAUGUCGUUAGUUAAUGACGCCAUAUUACGUGUGAUGCCACAAUGUUUCCUUUAAAACCUCAUGCCGAUAUCUCACUGAUAAAAGAUUUUCACUGAAAUACAUGUAAAAAACAUUUUUUCUCAAAUAGAAUUAUGUGAAAGAACAAGUUUUGAAAAUUUGCACUUCAUUGCACUCUAAUUAUAUGAUUCAAAUGACUUUUACAGUAGUUUAUAGUGGUUUCUACAGUAUAAAAUACAAGGUUUCCACUGGCUAGAAUAAUUAAGUAUUUUGGUGUUUUUUUAUGAAAUCUUCAUUUUUGCAUAAUUUCUCUGUCAAAAUGCACUUUUAGGCACCAGAAAAUUUUAUUGAAUGCUUUAACAGGGUCUGUGUGUUGUAAUUUAAGGUUACAUUCAGAUGUUUUGUCCUUCUUUUGACUAGUGAAGGUAUACUGGAAGAAAUUAAUUAUGCAUACACUUUGUAUUCAAAAUAAAUAAAUAUAGCGAUAAAAGUGUCAUUGCCUUAUAGUGCUGAAACAACUUUAUUUUUUUUCAGAAAUGGACAAAAAUACACAGAUUUAUUCAGAAUGUCAUACCGAUGAAGAUCACAUAAAAAUAUUUGGAAAAAUCAGAACUAUGGAUUGCAAUAUGGGACAACAUCCCUAAUGCGCCUCGAAAUGAGGAACUCAAAAGUCACGUGUAAAGAAAAAAUCUCUGUGUAAUGAUAUUGGACAUGUUUCUAUUUUUAACAAAUGACUGAACUUAAUUAUUUGUGGUGAUUAGGAAAGUAGAGGAACAUAGAAUAAAUGUGUAAAAACUAUGGAGCUAUUGAAUGUGUUCAAAGUAUUAAAUUUUCAAAGAACUUAUUGUGUUAAAAAGGGGAUAUUUUACCACAAGGAGCCGCAUCACAAAAGGAUGUUCGGGGUUUGCUAAUUUACGGAAAAAGUAAUCUCACUUCGUACCCCGAAAAUUUAACCACAUAUGUGAAAAUGUCACAGCUUCGAAACGAGCUAUCAUACAUAUCCAAGUUUACGAUAUGGACUGAGCUACAGGAAAAAACGUUACCAUUACCGCCUAUGUAAAAACAAUUAAAGAUAUUGAGCCAGAUAGAAAAAGCUCCAAAUGUAACGGUAAUUUUGUCGUGACGUCAUAUAUUGAAUGACGUCGUUAUUUGGCAUGUUACGUCACAGACGUCGAGCUGUCGUAUUUUGCGGCAUAUGAAAUGCAACCUUGAAAAACGGUCGGCAGCAAGAGGGUUAAGUAAGAGUGACUGGUUGGCUCGGAGUCAGAAUAAUGUGUUCGGGUAAGGUCAUAUGUUUUUUGUGCGGACUGUUUCCUUGUAAACUAGCACGUUAAAGUUCCGGUUCAGCGUGUCGGUCAGGUAAAUAAUACAUCAAAAGCAUGAUGUUCUCGGUCUGUAUAUGCCAUUGAUUUACCGCUCGAGGUAAAACAACCACCA